UACAGUUUAAUUAUAUUCCUUUCUUUUUUUCUCAAAGUUGCGGAGAAGAAAAAGAAUGCUGGAAAAUACCUACGGCUUGUGGAAGAAAGCAGCUGUCAUCUAUAGAAUGGAAGACCCAAUCUGGAGCAUCCCUUCGAAUCGCCCCAAUGAUUAUCUGGUAGUGUUAGACGCCAUGCAUGAAAUUAUGCGGGAAACCUGCGUUCGAUUCAAAGAGUGGAGCGGAGAACGGGACUACGUGUAUAUCAAGCGCGACUACACUCAAGGUGAUUUCUACAUGAAUAACGGAAGAAAGGGCGGCCGACAAGUAUUAUAUGUGCAUCAAAAGGUUUGGAAGAAAAAAACGUUUUUGCAUGAGCUGGGACAUGUCUUGAACUUGGAUGACGAACACCAACGCCCGGACAGAGACCACUACAUUGAAGUUUUAGAGGACAACGUUAAGGGGGAAUUCUUGCAAGAAAUGCGAAAAAAGAAGGAGGAGGAGGUGAAUCUCUUGGGAGAGCCGUUUGAUUUUGCCUCUAUAAUGAUGAAAAGCGAUCGUAUUCACUCCAAGGUAAAGCUGCUCAUAUUUUUUUCUGAUUU
rnacentral:lncRNA from 1 species